UACGAAGGGGGCUAGCGUUGUUCGGAAUCACUGGGCGUAAAGCGCACGUAGGCGGACUGUUAAGUCAGGGGUGAAAUCCUGGGGCUCAACCCCAGAACUGCCCUUGAUACUGGCGGUCUUGAGUGUGGGAGAGGUUGGUGGAACUCCGAGUGUAGAGGUGAAAUUCGUAGAUAUUCGGAAGAACACCAGUGGCGAAGGCGGCCAACUGGCCCAUUACUGACGCUGAGGUGCGAAAGCGUGGGGAGCAAACAGG
rnacentral:rRNA from 1 species